rnacentral:rRNA from 1 species
UUAGCUAGUAGGUGUGGUAAGAGCGCACCUAGGCGACGAUCAGUAGCUGGUCUGAGAGGACGACCAGCCACACUGGGACUGAGACACGGCCCAGACUCCUACGGGAGGCAGCAGUGAGGAAUUUUCCGCAAUGGGCGAAAGCCUGACGGAGCAAUACCGCGUGAGGGAGGAAGGUUCUUGGAUUGUAAACCUCUUUUCUCAGAGAAGAAUAAUGACGGUAUCUGAGGGAUUAGGAUUCGGCUACCUCGUGGCCCCGGGGCCGGUAUUCGGGGGGAGCAGCGUUAAUCCGGAUGAUUUGCGGUAAGGCUGUAGGUUGGUGGUUCAUUCCUGGUUAAAAAGCCUGGGGGUUUAACCCCAAAAAAAGGGGGGGGGGGGCUCUGGCCCCCCUUGGGCCCGGGAAGGGGAAAGAA